UGAACGCUGGCGGCAGGCCUAACACAUGCAAGUCGAACGGUAACAGGAAGAAGCUUGCUUCUUUGCUGACGAGUGGCGGACGGGUGAGUAAUGUCUGGGAAACUGCCUGAUGGAGGGGGAUAACUACUGGAAACGGUAGCUAAUACCGCAUAACGUCGCAAGACCAAAGAGGGGGACCUUCGGGCCUCUUGCCAUCGGAUGUGCCCAGAUGGGAUUAGCUUGUUGGUGGGGUAACGGCUCACCAAGGCGACGAUCCCUAGCUGGUCUGAGAGGAUGACCAGCCACACUGGAACUGAGACACGGUCCAGACUCCUACGGGAGGCAGCAGUGGGGAAUAUUGCACAAUGGGCGCAAGCCUGAUGCAGCCAUGCCGCGUGUAUGAAGAAGGCCUUCGGGUUGUAAAGUACUUUCAGCGGGGAGGAAGGGAGUAAAGUUAAUACCUUUGCUCAUUGACGUUACCCGCAGAAGAAGCACCGGCUAACUCCGUGCCAGCAGCCGCGGUAAUACGGAGGGUGCAAGCGUUAAUCGGAAUUACUGGGCGUAAAGCGCACGCAGGCGGUUUGUUAAGUCAGAUGUGAAAUCCCCGGGCUCAACCUGGGAACUGCAUCUGAUACUGGCAAGCUUGAGUCUCGUAGAGGGGGGUAGAAUUCCAGGUGUAGCGGUGAAAUGCGUAGAGAUCUGGAGGAAUACCGGUGGCGAAGGCGGCCCCCCUGGACGAAGACUGACGCUCAGGUGCGAAAGCGUGGGGGAGCAAAACAGGAUUAGAUACCCUGGUAGUCCACGCCGUAAACGAUGUCGACUUGGAGGUUGUGCCCUUGAGGCGUGGCUUCCGGAGCUAACGCGUUAAGUCGACCGCCUGGGGAGUACGGCCGCAAGGUUAAAACUCAAAUGAAUUGACGGGGGCCCGCACAAGCGGUGGAGCAUGUGGUUUAAUUCGAUGCAACGCGAAGAACCUUACCUGGUCUUGACAUCCACAGAACUUUCCAGAGAUGGAUUGGUGCCUUCGGGAACUGUGAGACAGGUGCUGCAUGGCUGUCGUCAGCUCGUGUUGUGAAAUGUUGGGUUAAGUCCCGCAACGAGCGCAACCCUUAUCCUUUGUUGCCAGCGGUCCGGCCGGGAACUCAAAGGAGACUGCCAGUGAUAAACUGGAGGAAGGUGGGGAUGACGUCAAGUCAUCAUGGCCCUUACGACCAGGGCUACACACGUGCUACAAUGGCGCAUACAAAGAGAAGCGACCUCGCGAGAGCAAGCGGACCUCAUAAAGUGCGUCGUAGUCCGGAUUGGAGUCUGCAACUCGACUCCAUGAAGUCGGAAUCGCUAGUAAUCGUGGAUCAGAAUGCCACGGUGAAUACGUUCCCGGGCCUUGUACACACCGCCCGUCACACCAUGGGAGUGGGUUGCAAAAGAAGUAGGUAGCUUAACCUUCGGGAGGGCGCUUACCACUUUGUGAUUCAUGACUGGGGUGAAGUCA
rnacentral:rRNA from 1 species